rnacentral:rRNA from 1 species
AUUGAACGCUGGCGGCAGGCCUAACACAUGCAAGUCGAGCGAGCGGCGGACGGGUGAGUAAUGUCUGGGGAUCUGCCCGAUAGAGGGGGAUAACUACUGGAAACGGUGGCUAAUACCGCAUACUAUAGGCUGCACCCAGAUGGGAUUAGCUAGUAGGUGGGGUAAAGGCUAACCUAGGCGACGCUCCCUAGCUGGGCUGAGAGGAUGAUCAGCCACACUGGAACUGAGACACGGCCCAGACUCCUACGGGAGGCAGCAGUGGGGAAUAUUGCACAAUGGGCGCAAGCCUGAUGCAGCCAUGCCGCGUGUAUGAAGAAGGCCUUAGGGUUGUAAAGUACUUUCAACGGGGAGGCGUUACCCGCAGAAGAAGCACCGGCUAACUCCGUGCCAGCAGCCGCGGUAAUUC